rnacentral:rRNA from 1 species
AGUUGGUGUGGUAAAGGCGCACCAAGGCGACGAUCCUUAUCUGGUCUGAGAGGAUGAUCAGCCACACUGGGACUGAGACACGGCCCAGACUCCUACGGGAGGCAGCAGUGGGGAAUAUUGGACAAUGGGCGAAAGCCUGAUCCAGCAAUGCCGCGUGAGUGAUGAAGGCCUUAGGGUUGUAAA